UACGUAGGGUGCAAGCGUUUGUCCGGAAUUAUUGGGCGUAAAGAGCUCGUAGGCGGUCUGUCGCGUCGGCUGUGAAAACUCGGGGGCUCAACCCCCGAGCUUGCAGUCGAUACGGGCAGGCUAGAGUUCGGCAGGGGAGACUGGAAUUCCUGGUGUAGCGGUGAAAUGCGCAGAUAUCAGGAGGAACACCGAUGGCGAAGGCAGGUCUCUGGGCAUUAACUGACGCUGAGGAGCGAAAGCAUGGGGAGCGAACAGG
rnacentral:rRNA from 1 species